GACGGGGCCCGCACAAGCGGUGGAUUAUGUGGAUUAAUUCGAUGCAACGCGAAAACCUUACCUACCCUUGACAUGCUAGGAACUUGCCAGAGAUGGCUUGGUGCCCGAAAGGGAACCUAGACACAGGUGCUGCAUGGCUGUCGUCAGCUCGUGUCGUGAGAUGUUGGGUUAAGUCCCGCAACGAGCGCAACCCUUGUCAUUAAUUGCCAUCAUUCAGUUGGGCACUUUAAUGAGACUGCCGGUGACAAACCGGAGGAAGGUGGGGAUGACGUCAAGUCCUCAUGGCCCUUAUGGGUAGGGCUUCACACGUAAUACAAUGGUCGGUACAGAGGGUUGCCAACCCGCGAGGGGGAGCCAAUCCCAGAAAACCGAUCGUAGUCCGGAUUGCAGUCUGCAACUCGACUGCAUGAAGUCGGAAUCGCUAGUAAUCGCGGAUCAGCAUGUCGCGGUGAAUACGUUCCCGGGUCUU
rnacentral:rRNA from 1 species